UCUAGAGGAACCCCCAGAAUUUUUUAAGAAGUUGUGAGCACCAAAGGACUCCGUGCACAGGUUUCUUCAUGGGCUGCAUCCACUUACACCACGCACCAUCCCAAAUUCGAAGACAGCCGCAACAUUCAGAACCUGGAGGCUGCCACCUUUCAAUACCACACAUGGAUGUAUUGGAGAUGUAAUUUACGCACUAAGAGAUCCUUCUACAGCUGUAUACACUGCCUGCAAUGCU
rnacentral:lncRNA from 1 species